UGGAGACCAAGAGUUUGGAGCCUAACUCAAGUAGGACAUAGCACAAUGCAGUGACAUAGUGCUACAGAAUGUCUGAGUAUCCCACAAGACCUGGGGACAGAUCAGUACCAAGCUGGCUGGAGGAGCCCUUGUGUGCCUCAACUGGUGCAGCAGGUGUCAACUCAAGCAACAGGCAAAGGAAAGCAGCUACAGUGUAAAAGUUAACUUGUAAGAACUGUUUCUGGAAGAGUCAAACACCUGCUAUCAGCCAUGGGAAUUUACAAGCUUUCCAACACAACUGAAGAAAUCCAGGAAACCACAGUGACAGAUACACUUGAAACAACCAUUUCAUGUAAUGAUCACCUGACAUUUAACUACAGGAACCUGUUUUGGAAGAAUUAUAGCCUUAAGGGCAGGUGCGCUGGUUAUACAGGAGUUCAUCCAUUUUUCCACUGUAGAUGUGAAAGCCUUUGACAUAUGAAGAGCACUAAGAGCUGGUGGGUUAAUGCCUGACUUCUGACACUACAUUGAAGCCGCACUGGGCCAGCUAGAGUCUCCCUUUGGAUAU